rnacentral:rRNA from 1 species
AUUGAACGCUGGCGGCAGGCCUAACACAUGCAAGUCGAGCGGAUGAAGGGAGCUUGCUCCUGGAUUCAGCGGCGGACGGGUGAGUAAUGCCUAGGAAUCUGCCUGGUAGUGGGGGAUAACGUCCGGAAACGGGCGCUAAUACCGCAUACGUCCUGAGGGAGAAAGUGGGGGAUCUUCGGACCUCACGCUAUCAGAUGAGCCUAGGUCGGAUUAGCUAGUUGGUGGGGUAAAGGCCUACCAAGGCGACGAUCCGUAACUGGUCUGAGAGGAUGGUCAGGCACACUGGAACUGAGACACGGUCCAGACUCCUACGGGAGGCAGCAGUGGGGAAUAUUGGACAAUGGGCGAAAGCCUGAUCCAGCCAUGCCGCGUGUGUGAAGAAGGUCUUCGGAUUGUAAAGCACUUUAAGUUGGGAGGAAGGGCAGUAAGUUAAUACCUUGCUGUUUUGACGUUACCAACAGAAUAAGCACCGGCUAACUUCGUG